CCUCAACAUUACAAAGACACAUGAGCCUGUCGUCUGCUAAAAAGCACGAAGAUUCCCACCGAAGGCGGUUAUGCAUCAUGUGGACGCACCUUCAUGAUAGAUCGCUGAACUUGGCCUUGGACGCAACGAUGUAAAAGUAUGUCCACAGAAUGCCUCUUUCCUCGUGAGCAAUUGCAAUUGCACGGGAAUAAUGGGGCAUGCACAAAAAUUUGUGGAAAGAACGCAUUGGCAUUCCCGUGUCCACAUGUUACCUGAUUGCGCAAGCAGUCUGCCAUGGAUCCCACAGUUUGUUUGGGUGCUUGUGCUGCGUUUAUUGUGAUGAAAAGACGACAAGAAGAAAACACACAGGCGACUAUAGAAAUGGUUCAACCUGACUUUCUACAGUGAAUGAUGGUCUCACUGCAACAGCUAUCCAGCACUUAUGAGUUGUUGCUGGAAUGGAUGUCCAAUCUUGAACCACAAAAGGAAACCAUCCAAGAAAACUAAGAUCUUGCCACCAUCAUUUCUACCUUCCAACCAGAAUAGAGAAGCCUCACCAAAUUAUAUUUCCUGACUGAAGAAACUUUCAAUUACGCACUGAUUAUCAGGUGAUGUCACACACAAAGCUAUUCUUACUGCAGAUAUUGGUGUGGAAGUGUUUAAACAAAUUCAAAAGAAAUAGAUCACAUGAUCAUUUCGUAUUCAGAAAUUAAAGUUAGUGUCACAUUUUGGAGCACAAGUGCGAUGAUGCUGUAGCCAGGGAUAAAUUUUUUGGAGGCUUUUAAGGAACCAAAUCAAGGUUAUCAGGUAACAAUGAAUGGAAACUACAAGACUUAACUAGAUAUUGCAAAUUUCUGUGUGAAAGUGACAUGUAACAAGUCUUACACUGCUUCUCUCAUUUGUAAUAUGCUUAUUAUGCACUCGCCUGAUAUUGCCUUUAAUAUGGGCACGUUAACAACCGCUAGUGUAAGCAGGUGCACUUCAAUAUGGAGACAGUUGUGUGCUUACAGUGCAUAAGCAGCCCACAUGGCCAUGCUCUGAAUACUUUUCUUUCGAAACUCACAAUGUUUUUAUGCUAUAAAACAGAUCACAAAUCUGAAUUGGCUUUUGCCUGUUCUCAACUCACAAACAAAAUCAUUCCCAUCUUUUCCAAGGUCUUCCAGUAUCUCUUUUCCCAUUCAUUCUGUAGUUCAGGAUCUUAUGUUCUCAUGGAGUGUUGUCUCUGAUUUUCAUGAUACUGACAAAAGUUUUUCAUAACAAAAUUCAAAUGUUUACAAUGAACACGAGCAAUUUGGUAGAUUUUUGUGGACAAAAAAAUAAAGUGAAUGUUAUCUUUUUCAGUAAAUGACAAGGCUUUACCUGUGACACUGAAGAGUUAAUAAAGUGCCAUUGAAAUUUCAAACUGAUAAAG